rnacentral:rRNA from 1 species
GGAUUAGAUACCCUGGUAGUCCACGCCGUAAACGAUGAGAACUAGACGUUGGGCCGCAUGACGGUUUAGUGUCGAAGCUAACGCGAUAAGUUCUCCGCCUGGGGAGUACGACCGCAAGGUUAAAACUCAAAGAAAUUGACGGGGACCCGCACAAGCGGUGGAGCAUGUGGUUUAAUUCGAUGCAACGCGAAGAACCUUACCUACCCUUGACAUCCUGGAAAGCUCACGUAAUGGUGAGUGUGCCUUCGGGAAUCCAGUGACAGGUGCUGCAUGGCUGUCGUCAGCUCGUGCCG